rnacentral:rRNA from 1 species
UACAGAGGCCACAAGCGUUAGGCGGAAUCACUGGGCUUAAAGCGCGUGUAGGCGGCUUUGCAAGUCGGGUGUGAAAGCCCUCAGCUCAACUGAGGAAGUGCGCCCGAAACUGCAGAGCUUGAGUGCCGGAGAGGGUGGCGGAAUUCCCCAAGUAGAGGUGAAAUUCGUAGAUAUGGGGAGGAACACCGGGUGGCGAAGGCGGCCACCUGGACGGUAACUGACGCUGAGACGCGAAAGCGUGGGGGAGCAAACAGG